CCUACGGGGGGCAGCAGUGGGGAAUAUUGGACAAUGGGGGCAACCCUGAUCCAGCCAUGCCGCGUGUGUGAAGAAGGCCCUCGGGUUGUAAAGCACUUUCAGUGAGGAAGAACGCCUGGUGGUUAAUACCCAUCAGGAAAGACAUCACUCACAGAAGAAGCACCGGCUAACUCCGUGCCAGCAGCCGCGGUAAUACGGAGGGUGCGAGCGUUAAUCGGAAUUACUGGGCGUAAAGCGCGCGUAGGUGGCUUGAUAAGCCGGUUGUGAAAGCCCCGGGCUCAACCGGGGAACGGCAUCCGGAACUGUCAAGCUAGAGUGCAGGAGAGGAAGGUAGAAUUCCCGGUGUAGCGGUGAAAUGCGUAGAGAUCGGGAGGAAUACCAGUGGCGAAGGCGGCCUUCUGGACUGACACUGACACUGAGGUGCGAAAGCGUGGGUAGCAAACAGGAUUAGAUACCCUGGUAGUC
rnacentral:rRNA from 1 species